UGAGUACGAGCUGCUACGGCAGCGAAGUGGGUGAUGUCAAGCUUCCAAGAAAAGCCCUAUACCCGUUAAGGCAUGAUGGCCUGUACCCGGAACCGACACAGGUGGGGUGGUAGAGAAUACCGAGGGGCGCGAGAUAACUCUCUCUAAGGAACUCGGCAAAAUGGCCCCGUAACUUCGGGAGAAGGGGUGCCACCGCAAGGUGGUCGCAGUGAAGAGGCCCAGGCGACUGUUUACCAAAAACACAGGUCUCCGCUAAGUCGCAAGACGAUGUAUGGGGGCUGACGCCUGCCCAGUGCCGGAAGGUUAAGGAAGCCGGUCAGCGUAAGCGAAGCUAGCGACUGAAGCCCCGGCGAACGGCGGCCGUAACAAUAACGGUCCUAAGGUAGCGAAAUUCCUUGUCGGGUAAGUUCCGACCCGCACGAAAGGCGUAACGAUCUGGGCGCUGUCUCGGAGAGAGGCUCGGCGAAAUAGAAUUGUCUGUGAAGAUGCGGACUACGUGCACCCGGACAGAAAGACCCUAUGAAGCUUUACUGUAGCUUGGUAUUGUGCUCGGGCUCGGAAUGCGCAGGAUAGGUGGGAGGCUAUGAACCAUUGCUUGUGGGUGAUGGUGAGCCACUGGUGAGAUACCACUCUUUCCGAGCUAGAGUUCUAACAGCCACCCGUUAUCCGGGGGCUGGACAGUAUCAGGUGGGCAGUUUGACUGGGGCGGUCGCCUCCUAAAAGGUAACGGAGGCGCGCAAAGGUUUGCUCAGGCUGGUUGGAAAUCAGCCGACGAGUGUAAAAGCAGAAGCAAGCUUGACUGUGAGACCUACAAGUCGAACAGGGAGGAAACUCGGCUUUAGUGAUCCGACGGUUCUGCGUGGAAGGGCCGUCGCUCAACGGAUAAAAGUUACUCUAAGGAUAACAGGCUGAUCUCCCCCAAGAGUUCACAUCGACGGGGAGGUUUGGCACCUCGAUGUCGGCUCAUCGCAACCUGGGGCUGAAGUCGGUCCCAAGGGUUGGGCUGUUCGCCCAUUAAAGCGGUACGCGAGCUGGGUUCAGAACGUCGUGAGACAGUUCGGUCCAUAUCCGGUGCAUGCGCAGGAAUAUUGAGAGGAUUUCUCCCUAGUACGAGAGGACCGGGAGGAACGCACCUCUGGUGUACCAGUUAUCGUGCCAACGGUAAACGCUGGGUAGCCAUGUGCGGAGAGGAUAACCGCUGAAAGCAUCUAAGUGGGAAGCCCACCUCAAGAUGAGUAUUCCCAUGGGGUAACCCAGUAAGGUCACGGGAAGAACACCCGUUGAUAGGCUCUACGUGGAAGCGCAGUAAUGUGUGAAGCGGAGGAGUACUAAUAGACCGAGGGCUUGACCG
rnacentral:rRNA from 1 species